UGUGUGCGUAUAUAUAUGUAUUGCGAGCAGAGAGAGGUAGAAGAAAAAGAUAUCAGCAAUUGAGAACGUGCUACCUCGUACCACGUCGUAGCGAGGAGAAAGAAUUGUGUUUGUUGUAUAUGUUUAUGCGAGUAUAUGAACAAAUACGUGAAAUAUUGAUAUGUACAAGUGAACAAGAAUGUGUUAGAGUGAAUUCUAUACAAAGCUGAAAAAUCGCAUUGCAUGUCGAGAAUCGAUUUCGAGAGACGUAUCGAAGCGUAGAAUAACUUUAUUCGUGAUUACGUAUUUUAUUUCAUAGAUUUUAAUUGAUGUUAAUAUUUCAUAAUUAUUAUAAUAAAAUAUAAAUAAUCCUUUAAUUUUCAUUUUUAAUAUUCGAAUAACUAGAAAACUCAACUCUUUUUCGUCGGCUUUUUAUAACCUGCAUCAGGAAUUCAAUCUCUCGAAACGACAGGCGUGGAAUGUUAAUUAAAAAUCGCUUAGGAAGCGAAUCGAAUUGAGAGAUGGGGAAAAAAGCGAGGCGGAGUUUUCAUGAGUAUUAGUCGUGCAACAUGGAUCGAGAGAAUUGCGUGAAUCUGGCAGGAAGAGAGCAUCGAUAGUCUCGAAAAAUUAGGUUAGAACGCUCGAGACACGAGCUUCUCGUCUCCACUUUCGCUCAAAAUCGAAACCAGUCUCUCUCGGCAGCGAAUCGAAAGUGGCUGAACUGGAGAUUACGUCUCGAAAGUGGUCUCGUGUUUGUAACGAUCGUGCGUUUUCACUCGGCGAACGUAUAUACAUAGAGCGUUACUUAAACUCGCGUAACUGAAAGAUAUGCACGAGUGGAAAAAUAUCGAGUAAAAAAUCGCAAAACCGAUCUCUUUUGCGUGACUUUAGAAAGUAUAGGAAAUUAGAUUCCAUUGAACGUAUUUCGAGAUAACUGUAAUAAUAAUUGGAAUUUCGUUUGUUUGAUAGUUAGACAAGAAUUUCUUAUUCUUGUUAUUUAAAUAAAUACAAGAAUGGUUUGGUAAUUAAAUGCAACAAUGUAAAAAUGAUGAACUUAACCUAAAAAGUAAAAUUUAAGAGAAAUAUACAGGUACGUGAUUUUUGAUUAAUUCUGAUUUUGGAGACGAGAAGUAUCGUGGAUGAAUUUUAAAAAGUGCGUGAGGAUAAUCGUGCAUUAGUACUACUAUCUUACGAAUGGUGCGUGCUACGUUGCGAGUCUACGAAGGAGCCGGGCUUCUCCGUACAUUUUUUAAAGAAUUUUUCAUCAUUCUCAACAGGAGAACGAAUGAAAAGAAUCUUGUCAAUAAGAUGUUCUUUCCAUGAAUAGAUAUUCUUCUCACAAAAGGAACGAAAGAUCGCAUGGAACGCAUUCCUUGGAAAGAGCACAACGGAAAUGAAGACAGAGUACACCGGCUCACCCUGGUCGAUACAUCGACUUACUCUCGAGCUUGUCACAGUUGGUGACUUUGCCCUUCCAGUCGCAGGUCUGUUUGUCCAAGUCAAAGGCCAACCCACUGGGGCACGUGAUUUGCUUCAGGCCGGAUUUCGUGCACCUAUACGUGUCGGACAGAAAACAAGGGGACGCCGUUUAAUCAAAUAGAAAUCUAUUUUGGAUAGCUGGUAAUUUCUGCUUGCCAUCAUCUCAAGACAUAUUCUAAUUAAGGAAGGUUGAGAAUCAUAAGCUACGUGGAAAUUAUUUUGAGAAAUUUAUAUUUAUAAAUUAAUAUUUAAGCAAAUAACAGAUUUCUUCAUAUAUUUUUAUAUUGUAUGAUCUCAGUAUUAGUUUGUAAUUCUAUCGAUUUUUAAUUUUUUAAACAAUUUUAAUAUUAUACAUUACAUAUUUUAAUUGCAGGUACUAUUCAAUAAAAUUGUCAAGUCAAAUUA